rnacentral:lncRNA from 1 species
CUUCCAUGAUGGAUAUGAUAUGGUAAUAAAAGCCUGGGAUCUAAUGGAACCCAGGGAAAUGAGAGACUGAAAGGUUUAUUGUAAAGAAUAUUACAGAAGAUGUAGAUGAAGAGAUGCAUACAAAAAGGGUAUUGGAUUGGAAGAUGCAUUAUACGGUCAUCCUAAACAAGUAUUCCUGGUGAUUCUGGCACAGUUGACUCACGAACAUAAACUGCUCGAAUGUUUGUCCUAAUUGAGUAAGGAGAACAAAAAACCAUCACUUUUCCUCCUUGAGUGAGGCCAUGUGUGGCUAUCUUAUGAAAUAGAAAAAUGGUAUAAAAUAAAAUAUAAAUAUGGAACUAAAUGUUCACAAUAUGUUCUCUCUCUCACUAAUAUUUUGCUUCUUUACUUGCAUUUCACUCUUUCAUUCCUCUGUAAGCCCUGAUAUCUGCAAAGGGUUUUACAAAUUGGAAACCCAUUACUAGCACCAAAGGCCAUUCAAUUGAGAGAGUAUUGAUAAGAUCUAUA